AACGCGAAGAACCUUACCAACUUUUGACAUGUCCCGUAUGGAUUUCAGAGAUGAGAUCCUUCAGUUCGGCUGGCGGGAACACAGGUGCUGCAUGGCUGUCGUCAGCUCGUGUCGUGAGAUGUUGGGUUAAGUCCCGCAACGAGCGCAACCCUCGGCCUUAGUUGCCAUCAUUUAGUUGGGCACUCUAAGGCGACUGCCGGUGAUAAGCCGGAGGAAGGUGGGGAUGACGUCAAGUCCUCAUGGCCCUUACAGGUUGGGCUACACACGUGCUACAAUGGCGGUGACAGAGGGACGCAAAAGGGCAACCUUUCGCAAAUCUCAAAAAACCGUCUCAGUUCGGAUUGGGGUCUGCAACUCGACCCCAUGAAGUUGGAAUCGCUAGUAAUCGCAGAUCAGCACGCUGCGGUGAAUACGUUCCCGGGCCUUGUACACACCGCACGA
rnacentral:rRNA from 1 species